CCCCCCCGCCCCCCAAAAAGAAGACUUCUGCUCAUAGAUCCCAAGGAAAAGGUGGUUUGAAGGAGACCUGCUAUAGCCAUCUGCCAGUCUAACAACAACAACAACAAAAACGCAAAGCAGAGAGCAGACGUCAAGGGAUUUCAGGAAAGCAGUAUCAGGAUAUGUUGUGGAUAGCCUGUAAUCUACCCCUGAACUUCAUAUUAUGUGAGAUAAUAAGAUUUCUGUGCUGUUCAUUUUGAUUGUCUAUUGUUAUGAAACAGUUAUCCCAAAAUGGAAUGGCUUGCAACAGCAUCCGUUUUAUUAUAUUUCACAAGUUUGUGGGCCAGGAAGCCAAGCAGAACUCAACAAGGAAGUCACUCAGUGUUAUUCAGCUGACUGAUGGCCUGGACUGAAAAGCCCAGGAUGGCUUCCUUGUACUCGGCAUCUUGGUGGUAAUGGCUUGAAGGUUUUUUGUUUGUUUUUUAAUUAAUUAAUUUUUGGCUGUACUGGGUCUUUGCUGCUACACGUGCAGUUCCUCUAGUUGCAGUGAGUGGGGGCUCGCUUUCUAGUUGCAGGCGGUGGCUUCUCCUGCUGUGAAGCACCAGCUCUAGGCACAUGGGCUUAGUAGUUGUGGUGCACAGGAUAGUUGCUCCUUGGCAGGUGGGAUCUUUCUGGACCAGGGAUGGAAACUGUAUCCCCUGGAUUGGCAGGCCAGUUCUUAACCUCUGGCUCACCAGGGAUGUCCCUGGUGACAUUUAAGUUCAACUGAUAACUUCAGCCAGAACAUGUCCAUGUGGACUCUCCAGCAUGGCCAUCCAAGGUAGUCAGGCUUUUCACAAGGAGCACAGAGCUCUCAAAGUGCUGUAAGAGGCAGAAAGCAGAAGAUGCCAGUCUCUUUAGGCCCAAGACUGGACUGGCACAGAAUCGUUUCUAUCAUGUACUAUGGAUCAAAGCAGGCACAAAACCCACCCAGAUUCAAAAAGAGAUAACAUAGAUUCUAUCGCUUGUGGGGAAAAGUCCUGAAAAUCACAUAAAUCAAUUGGAAACAGGUUUUCUGUUAUUUACAGUCAAAGGGGUCAGAAAUAAUUAAAGAAAUUCAAGGUUCUUUCAAGCCUGGGAAGAUAUUUCUUCCUGUUCCUACAACAUAGAGGUCAGUAAACUGUUUUGUUAAGGGCCAGAUAGUAAAUAUUUUAAGUUUUACUGGUCACACAAUCUCUUUUGCAACUAUUUGGCUUUGCCAGUGACACAUGAAACCAG
ensembl:lncRNA